CCCCUGGUGGUCUAGUGGUGAGGACUCCUGAUUUUCAUCCAGGUUACCCAGCUUUAAUUCCUGGGCAGGGAA
rnacentral:tRNA from 1 species